rnacentral:rRNA from 1 species
AGUGAACGCUGGCGGUAGGCCUAACACAUGCAAGUCGAACGGCAGCACAGUAAGAGCUUGCUCUUACGGGUGGCGAGUGGCGGACGGGUGAGGAAUACAUCGGAAUCUACUUUUUCGUGGGGGAUAACGUAGGGAAACUUACGCUAAUACCGCAUACGACCUACGGGUGAAAGCAGGGGAUCUUCGGACCUUGCGCGAUUGAAUGAGCCGAUGUCUGAUUAGCUAGUUGGCGGGGUAAAGGCCCACCAAGGCGACGAUCCGUAGCUGGUCUGAGAGGAUGAUCAGCCACACUGGAACUGAGACACGGUCCAGACUCCUACGGGAGGCAGCAGUGGGGAAUAUUGGACAAUGGGCGCAAGCCUGAUCCAGCCAUACCGCGUGGGUGAAGAAGGCCUUCGGGUUGUAAAGCCCUUUUGUUGGGAAAGAGAAGCAGCAGGUUAAUACCCCGCUGUUCUGACGGUACCCAAAGAAUAAGCACCGGCUAACUUCGUG